AAAUUGAAGAGUUUGAUCAUGGCUCAGAUUGAACGCUGGCGGCAGGCCUAACACAUGCAAGUCGAACGGUAACAGGAAGCAGCUUGCUGCUUUGCUGACGAGUGGCGGACGGGUGAGUAAUGUCUGGGAAACUGCCUGAUGGAGGGGGAUAACUACUGGAAACGGUAGCUAAUACCGCAUAACGUCGCAAGACCAAAGAGGGGGACCUUCGGGCCUCUUGCCAUCGGAUGUGCCCAGAUGGGAUUAGCUAGUAGGUGGGGUAACGGCUCACCUAGGCGACGAUCCCUAGCUGGUCUGAGAGGAUGACCAGCCACACUGGAACUGAGACACGGUCCAGACUCCUACGGGAGGCAGCAGUGGGGAAUAUUGCACAAUGGGCGCAAGCCUGAUGCAGCCAUGCCGCGUGUAUGAAGAAGGCCUUCGGGUUGUAAAGUACUUUCAGCGGGGAGGAAGGUGUUGAGGUUAAUAACCUCAGCAAUUGACGUUACCCGCAGAAGAAGCACCGGCUAACUCCGUGCCAGCAGCCGCGGUAAUACGGAGGGUGCAAGCGUUAAUCGGAAUUACUGGGCGUAAAGCGCACGCAGGCGGUCUGUCAAGUCGGAUGUGAAAUCCCCGGGCUCAACCUGGGAACUGCAUUCGAAACUGGCAGGCUAGAGUCUUGUAGAGGGGGGUAGAAUUCCAGGUGUAGCGGUGAAAUGCGUAGAGAUCUGGAGGAAUACCGGUGGCGAAGGCGGCCCCCUGGACAAAGACUGACGCUCAGGUGCGAAAGCG
rnacentral:rRNA from 1 species